rnacentral:rRNA from 1 species
AUUGAACGCUGGCGGCAGGCCUAACACAUGCAAGUCGAACGAGUGGCGGACGGGUGAGUAAUGUCUGGGAAACUGCCCGAUGGAGGGGGAUAACUACUGGAAACGGUAGCUAAUACCGCAUACCCUCGGAUGUGACCCGAUGGGAUGAGCUUGUAGGUGAGGUAACGGCUCACCUAGGCGACGAUCCCUAGCUGGGCUGAGAGGAUGAUCAGCCACACUGGGACUGAGAAACGGCCCAGACUCCUACGGGAGGCAGCAGUGGGGAAUAUUGCACAAUGGGCGCAAGCCUGAUGCAGCCAUGCCGCGUGUAUGAAGAAGGCCUUCGGGUUGUAAAGUACUUUCAGCGGGGAGGCGUUACCCGCAGAAGAAGCACCGGCUAACUCCGUGCCAGCAGCCGCGGUAAUAC